GAAAUCUUCAAAGUCAAUCUUUUGUUAACUCAAUUGGUUGUGCUUUGGUAUUGGAGGUAUAUUGCAGCUUCACACCCUGCUCCUCUUUGUGCAUUAGCUGGAUCUCGGUGUUAUGCUUGGUUCCACUCGGCGUGAUAAGUUAUCUAUCGCUGAGGACACUAUUAAAAAUGGUGGCCAAGGUAAACGCAUGAUUGAACCGCUUCCAACGGUCCAUUGACUUGGACAAUACUCUUUAUGAUUUGAUCUCAAAUCAGGUAGGACUACCCGCUGAACUUAA
rnacentral:misc_RNA from 1 species